GACGAACGCUGGCGGCGUGCCUAAUACAUGCAAGUUGAGCGCUGAAGGUUGGUACUUGUACCGACUGGAUGAGCAGCGAACGGGUGAGUAACGCGUGGGGAAUCUGCCUUUGAGCGGGGGACAACAUUUGGAAACGAAUGCUAAUACCGCAUAAAAACUUUAAACACAAGUUUUAAGUUUAAAAGAUGCAAUUGCAUCACUCAAAGAUGAUCCCGCGUUGUAUUAGCUAGUUGGUGAGGUAAAGGCUCACCAAGGCGAUGAUACAUAGCCGACCUGAGAGGGUGAUCGGCCACAUUGGGACUGAGACACGGCCCAAACUCCUACGGGAGGCAGCAGUAGGGAAUCUUCGGCAAUGGACGAAAGUCUGACCGAGCAACGCCGCGUGAGUGAAGAAGGUUUUCGGAUCGUAAAACUCUGUUGGUAGAGAAGAACGUUGGUGAGAGUGGAAAGCUCAUCAAGUGACGGUAACUACCCAGAAAGGGACGGCUAACUACGUG
rnacentral:rRNA from 1 species